UGCAAGUCGAACGAUGAAGGGAAGCUUGCUUUCUGGAUUAGUGGCGAACGGGUGAGUAACACGUGAGUAACCUGCCCUUGACUCUGGGAUAAGCACUGGAAACGGUGUCUAAUACCGGAUACGAACUUCCACCGCAUGGUGAGGGGUUGGAAAGAAUUUUGGUCAAGGAUGGACUCGCGGCCUAUCAGCUAGUUGGUUAGGUAAUGGCUCACCAAGGCGACGACGGGUAGCCGGCCUGAGAGGGUGACCGGCCACACUGGGACUGAGACACGGCCCAGACUCCUACGGGAGGCAGCAGUGGGGAAUAUUGGACAAUGGGCGAAAGCCUGAUCCAGCAAUGCCGCGUGGAUGAAGAAGGUCUUCGGAUUGUAAAGUCCUUUCGGCGGGGACGAUAAUGACGGUACCCGCAGAAGAAGCCCCGGCUAACUUCGUGCCAGCAGCCGCGGUAAUACGAAGGGGGCUAGCGUUGCUCGGAAUGACUGGGCGUAAAGGGCGCGUAGGCGGUUUGGUUAGUUAGACGUGAAAUUCCCGGGCUCAACCUGGGGACUGCGUUUAAGACAGCCAGACUUGAGUGAGGAAGAGGGUCGUGGAAUUCCCAGUGUAGAGGUGAAAUUCGUAGAUAUUGGGAAGAACACCGGUGGCGAAGGCGGCGACCUGGUCCUUUACUGACGCUGAGGCGCGAAAGCGUGGGGAGCAAACA
rnacentral:rRNA from 1 species